CAGUGUAGAUGAUUCCUUGUAAAUGGAGCCCGCUGAAUCUGUCUGUGCACACCAACUCUGCAGAACGCUGCGGGCCUGGCUGGGCUGGUUCGGACGAAGGCAGAUAGCUUGAAAGCAGAGCUGUCCACAGGGGCACCGCAUUGCCCUUCCUGAGGGGGAACUCUGCUGAAGAGACAAGAGUAGAAGAAAAAAGCAGGUUGAGGGUCUGACAAAAGGAAAAAGAUGGAUGACUGCUACAUCAGCAUGUGGCCUGCCAAGAAAAUAAAAGGACAUUCAUAG